ACUAUACAGGCAAAGCAUAUGAUGAACAUUAUGUGCAACAAAUUAUUGGACCAGACCCACCUAUCAUGAGGAUGUUGAAAAUAAAAACAGAAAAGGAAUAUUUUAAUCGUAAUAUAUUAAAUAAGGAAAUAAAAAUGGAAAUGAACUUGAAGACUGAAGACGUAGCAAAAUCGCUAAUGCAUUGGGCGAAGUUGGGUGCGAUUUCUCCGACGUCUGAAUUAUUCCAUAUAUUUCAUAAAAUUAAGUCAAACAAUUUAGUUUACCAGGGAGAUAUGAAUGAUUAGUUUAUUUUUAAAUAAAAAAGCAAUUUUG